GCGUAGUUCAGUUGGUAGAAUAUUCGACUUGUAAUCGAAAGGUCGGCAGUUCGAAUCUCGCCC
rnacentral:tRNA from 2 species